rnacentral:rRNA from 1 species
AGUGAACGCUGGCGGCAGGCCUAACACAUGCAAGUCGAGCGGCAGCGCGGGGCAACCUGGCGGCGAGCGGCGAACGGGUGAGUAAUACAUCGGAACGUGCCCGAGAGUGGGGGAUAACGAGGCGAAAGCUUUGCUAAUACCGCAUACGAUCUCAGGAUGAAAGCAGGGGACCGCAAGGCCUUGCGCUCACGGAGCGGCCGAUGGCAGAUUAGGUAGUUGGUGGGAUAAAAGCUUACCAAGCCGACGAUCUGUAGCUGGUCUGAGCGGACGACCAGCCAGACUGGGACUGAGACACGGCCCAGACUCCUACGGGAGGCAGCAGUGGGGAAUUUUGGACAAUGGGCGCAAGCCUGAUCCAGCCAUGCCGCGUGCAGGAUGAAGGCCUUCGGGUUGUAAACUGCUUUUGUACGGAACGAAAAGACUCUGGUUAAUACCUGGGGUCCAUGACGGUACCGUAAGAAUAAGCACCGGCUAACUACGUGCCAGCCGCCGCCGUAAAAC